rnacentral:rRNA from 1 species
UACGUAGGGGGCGAGCGUUGUCCGGAUUCAUUGGGCGUAAAGAGCUCGUAGGCGGUUCGGUAAGUCAGAUGUGAAAACUCCAGGCUCAACUUGGAGACGCCAUCUGAUACUGUCGUGACUAGAGUCCGGUAGGGGAGCACGGAAUUCCUGGUGUAGCGGUGAAAUGCGCAGAUAUCAGGAGGAACACCAGCGGCGAAGGCGGUGCUCUGGGCCGGAACUGACGCUGAGGAGCGAAAGCGUGGGUAGCGAACAGG